ACAGAGGUGGCACAGUUGUGCCAGAGGGCCAGACUUUGGCAGCGUGUAAGGUCUGAGGACAGGGGCACCGGAGGCCGAGGAUGAGAGGCCAGUGCCUGUUUCCAGGCAGCCAGGGCCUCAGAAACUCCGGCCGGAGCACUCACCCGUCGGUGGAGGCCGUUACCAGGGCCACCUUAUUUGCGAGCGGGUCCCGGCGGGUCAUCCCGGAGCUGGCCAUCCGCACCGAAUUCCAAGCCCGGGCACAGAGGCCUAGCAGCCCCGCCUUGUGCAUGGAUCAGACCAGCAAAAUUCCUUCUCCAAGAAAGUCUGGGUCUAUGUGUGUGACAGCCCACAGGAGGGCAAAUGUUUUGAGACUGCCCAUGGAGGUGAGGCCUGUGGUCGCCAUGGAGUCCACCAGGUGAGGCUGGAAGAGCCUGGGAGAGAGACGUGAUAGGGAGUAGCUGCGCCAGGCCUGGCACUGCCCUUCACUCUGCCCAAGGUCUCUUCCAUCUUCACGGGCCCUGGAGGGCAGACUAUGGUCAUUGGCCAAACAGCAUUCUCAUGUCCGUUGACAAAGGGACUUCCUCCUUUACAGGGGCUAAGUGGUAGCGAGGAGGCUGGACAGUCCCUCAAGCAGUGGUGGAAAUGCAAAGAACUCGGGGCACUCAAGUUCUCCCUAACCACUCUGUCCCCAGGUCUUAGCCGCCAUCUUAGUUCAAUAAAUAUUUGUUGAAUGCAAAA
rnacentral:lncRNA from 1 species